rnacentral:rRNA from 1 species
GCAUAUCAAUAAGCGGAGGAAAAGAAACUAACAAGGAUUCCCCUAGUAACGGCGAGUGAAGAGGGAAGAGCCCAAGAUUGAAAGCUGGCGUCUUUGGCGUCCGCAUUGUAAUCUCAAGAAGCAUUUUCCGCUUCGGACCAAGCCUAAGUCCCUUGGAAAAGGGCAUCGUAGAGGGUGAGAAUCCCGUACAUGGCUUGGAGCGCCCGAGGCUUUGUGAUAUGCAUUCUAAGAGUCGAGUUGUUUGGGAAUGCAGCUCAAAAUGGGUGGUAAAUGCCAUCUAAGGCUAAAUAUUGGGGAGAGACCGAUAGCGAACAAGUACCGUGAGGGAAAGAUGAAAAGAACUUUGAAAAGAGAGUUAAACAGUACGUGAAAUUGCCAAAAGGGAAGGGUAGGAGGUCAGAGAUGCGGCGUGGAAUUCAGCCUUGCUUUUGCUUGGUCUACUUUCCUCAUUGCAGGCCAACGUCGGUUUUGGGCACUGGAGAAUGGUGGGAGGAAUGUGGCACCCCUCGGGGUGUGUUAUAGCCUCCUACUGGAUACAGCGACCGGGACCGAGGAACGCAGCGUACUCGAAAGAGCGGGCCUUCGGGCACCUUUACGCUUAGGGCGUUGGCAUAAUGGCCCUCUACCACCCGUCUUGAAACACGGACC